rnacentral:rRNA from 1 species
ACUCAAAGGAAUAGACGGGGGCCCGCACAAGCGGUGGAGCAUGUGGUUCAAUUCGAAGCAACGCGCAGAACCUUACCAGCUCUAGACUACACGGUCGCGAGCACCAGAGAUGGAGCUCUUCAGUUCGGCUGGACCGUGUUCAGGUGCUGCAUGGCUGUCGUCAGCUCGUGUCGUGAGAUGUUGGGUUAAGUCCCGCAACGAGCGCAACCCUCGCCCUUAGUUGCCAUCAUUCAGUUGGGCACUCUAAGGGGACUGCCGGUGAUAAGCCGCGAGGAAGGUGGGGAUGACGUCAAGUCCUCAUGGCCCUUACGGGCUGGGCUACACACGUGCUACAAUGGCGGUGACAGAGGGAUGCAAUGGAGUAAUCCUGCGCAAAUCUCAAAAAGCCGUCUCAGUUCGGAUUGUGCUCUGCAACUCGAGCACAUGAAGUUGGAAUCGCUAGUAAUCGCAGAUCAGCACGCUGCGGUGAAUACGUUCCCGGGCCUUGUACACACCGCCCGU